CCUACGGGUGGCAGCAGUGGGGAAUAUUGCACAAUGGGGGAAACCCUGAUGCAGCGACGCCGCGUGAGUGAAGAAGUAAUUCGUUACGUAAAGCUCUAUCAGCAGGGAAGAAAUACUGACCUUACGGUCAGCAGACGGUACCUGAGUAAGAAGCCCCGGCUAACUACGCGCCAGCAGCCGCGGUAAUACGUAGGGGGCAAGCGUUAUCCGGAUUUGCUGGGUGUAAAGGGCGCGUAGACGGUGCGGCAAGUCUGGAGUGAAAUGCCGCAGCUUAACUGCGGAACUGCUUUGGAAACUGGCGAACUAGAGUGCGGGAGGGGUAAGCGGAAUGCCUAGUGUAGCGGUGAAAUGCGUAGAUAUUAGGCGGAACACCGGUGGCGAAGGCGGCUUACUGGACCGUAACUGACGUUGAGGCUCGAAAGCGUGGGGAGCAAACAGGAUUAGAUACCCUGGUAGUC
rnacentral:rRNA from 1 species